CCGAAAGGCAGGAGUGCCUGCAAGGGAGCGCGGAGACAGGUGGUGCAUGGCUGUCGUCAGCUCGUGUCGUGAGAUGUUGGGUUAAGUCCCGCAACGAGCGCAACCCUCACCUCUUGUUGCCAUCAGGUCAUGCCGGGCACUCUAGAGGAACUGCCCCGGUCAACGGGGAGGAAGGCGGGGAUGACGUCAAGUCAUCAUGCCCCUUACGUCCUGGGCUACACACGUGCUACAAUGGCCGGUACAAAGGGAUGCCACACCGCGAAGUAGAGCUAAACCCAAAAAGCCGGUCUAAGUUCGGAUUGGAGUCUGCAACUCGACUCCAUGAAGGAGGAAUCGCUAGUAAUCGCGUAUCAGCACGACGCGGUGAAUACGUUCCCGGGCCUUGUACACACCGCCCGUCACACCACGAAAGCCAG
rnacentral:rRNA from 1 species